ACGAACGUUGGCGGCGUGGAUUAGGCAUGCAAGUCGCACGAAUCCCAGGAAGCUUGCUUUUUGGGGGAAGUGGCGAAAGGGGCAGUAAGGCGUGGGUAACCUACCCCAGGGACCGGGAUAGCCGUCCUAACGGACGGGUAAUACCGGGAGAAGUCGUUUUGAUACCUGUCGAGACGACCAAAGGGUCUGCCGCCCUGGGAGGGGCUCAUGUGGUAUUAGCUUGUUGGUGAGGUAACGGCUCACCAAGGCCAAGAUGCCUAGCAGGUGUGAGAGCACGACCUGCGCCACUGGCACUGAGACACUGGCCAGACUCCUACGGGAGGCUGCAGUCGAGGAUCUUCGGCAAUGGGCGCAAGCCUGACCGAGCGACGCCGCGUGCGCGAUGAAGGCCUUCGGGUUGUAAAGCGCUGUCGAGGGGGAGUAAGGCCGCAAGGCUUGAACUACCUCUGGAGGAAGCACGGGCUAAGUUCGU
rnacentral:rRNA from 1 species